rnacentral:tRNA from 1 species
GCCCAUGUAGCUCAGGCGGUAGAGCAUUUCCUUGGUAAGGAAAAGGUCCCCGGUUCGAAUCCGGGCAUGGGCUCCA